GCAGUUGUGGCCUAAUGGUUAGAGAGUCAGACUUGUAAUCUAAAGGUUGUGGGUUUGAGUCUCGGGUCCAGCA